rnacentral:rRNA from 1 species
AAAUUGAAGAGUUUGAUCAUGGCUCAGAUUGAACGCUGGCGGCAGGCUUAACACAUGCAAGUCGAGCGGUAGCACAGAGAGCUUGCUCUCGGGUGACGAGCGGCGGACGGGUGAGUAAUGUCUGGGAAACUGCCUGAUGG